rnacentral:lncRNA from 1 species
GUGAUGGGCGAAAAAGGUUUAAUGUCAAGGGUGUUAUCCCCCAAGUUUGGAGGAUAUCUAACCUUUGGGACUCUUGAUGCUACAAAGAUAUCAGCACCUGGGCAGCCAACCGUCAAAGAACUGUUGGACAUUUAUAAUAUAAGGCGUAUAGGACCUGAUACAAAGGUUCUUGGUCUUAUUGCCAACCCAGUAAAACAGAGCAAGAGCCCAAUUUUGCACAAUAAAUGUCUUCAAUCUAUUGGAUACAAUGCUGUUUAUCUUCCACUUUUGGCAGAUGACCUUGCUCGAUUUCUCAGCACAUAUUCAUCUCCGGAUUUUUCAGGAUUCAGGUACUAAUUUCAGAGGAUAGAAAAAAUUACAUAGCUAUUCUAUUGGAUUGCUUGGAAUUUGAAACGUUUGGAUGGACUAGAUUUUUCUGAGUCAUACACGAGGGAUACUCCCAAUCUGGAUUCUUCUUUAGACACUUUACCUUAUUCAUACAAACGUCACCUAAUGGUUGUUAGUUUUAAUGGGAAAACCUAGCUAUCUGUAUUUUUCCUCUCAGUUCUUUGAUCGCAAGGGAGGUGAAUAGUUGCUUAGAACAGUCAUCUAUUGGCAGAUAACCCACAGGUCACAUGUUCAAAUCCCAGAAAUCAAAGUGAAAAAUUCACACAAACAACCCACCCAAUCCACAAUUAGUAGGAUCUGAGCUCUGGUCUUCAGCCAAAGAGACAAAGGUACAACACUGUUGGGAUAUGCAAUAUCUGACCCUCUGUAUUGGUUUGUUACUGUGUUUUUUUUCUCACUUCUCUUUAUAUCCAAACUUUUACAGAGUACUUACUGUGCAUAGCUCUGCACAAUCUGGGAGAGAGCCCAAAAUAGACAUUUUAGUUUGGGGGUAAACAAGAGGCCAGUUGUCUGAAACUCUGAAUGCAACAAAUCAUUUUCGUGGAAAGACUUUUGUUAGCAUACUCCCCUCCUGGCAUGAAAAAUAUCAAUUUGGAAUAUACAGUGGUCUCUAAGAUGCAACUCUGACGACUCGUUUCAAUUUCAAUAUUUCUAUUGUUUACAAUAAAAUUCUAAUAUAAUGGAAGCACUUUUUUAGACAAAUCUACAAAUAUGAUUCCCAUGUUCCAAUAUAAUACAUAUUUAAAUGUAUAUAUGGAUGUAUUUAUGUAUAUAUAGAAAUGCACAAAGCGUUACUCCCUCUGUCCCAAAAUAUAAGGACUUUUAUAGUUGGACACGGAUAUUAAGGAGAAAAUUAAAGUAAAGUGAGGGAUGAUUGUGAUUAGUUGAGAUGAGAAAGUAGGUGAAGAAAUUAAAUGAGAUGGUGGUCGUGACUGGUUGAGGUGAGGAAGUCGGUGGAGAAAUAGCUAUAUUUUGGGAUGACAUUUGAAUGCUAAAGGUAGCUAUAUUUGGGAUGGAGGGAGUAGAGAUUUGACUUGAUGCAUAUGCAAAAUAACAUGUUUUGUUUUCCCGACUGGAGGGGGUAUUUCACAAGAACAAAUCUGAGUUCAUGCUAUAUGACUAAAUGUAAUGCAGUUGCUCUCUUCCUUUCAAAGUGGACGCUGUACAGUGUUGCCAUGAACAUGACCCAGUUGCUAAGGUACCUUGAUGUGGUACACUUGAUCUAAUUGCUUCAUUUAAUUACCAUUUUCAGAUUUCUUUGACCUUUGAUAUUUUCUUCAAUCUGCAGUCAAUCGGUGCCAUAAACACCAUAAUUAGGAGACCAGAUGGCAAACUAGUGGGCUACAAUACUGACUACAUUGGAGCAAUUUCUGCUAUUGAGGAUGGCAUAGGAGGUUUUUAUAAUCGUAAUUCUGGAGCAAUUUUUUUACUCUUUUUUGGGAGUCAUGGAAAAAUAUCUGAUAAAUUAUGUUUCACAGGCCCAGGAUCAAAGGAUGCUGCCAUCUCACCUUUGGCUGGCAGGCUUGUUGUUGUUGUAGGUGCUGGUGGAGCUGGUAAGGCAAUUGCUUAUGGGGCAAAGGAGAAGGGUGCAAGAGUUGUAGUAGCAAAUCGUACCUACGGUAAGAUUGUGUUUCUGAGCCAAAUAUUCUUUGUCUGUAAUUAUGCAAUUUCUGUGCCUACCUAAUUCUAUCAUCAUGUGCAAAUCAUAAAGAAUUCAUUUUGUGAUAUAAAGUUCUGAACUAUGCUCCUCACUCCCUCAGCCAAUGAUUAAUGCAUGCAAUCUGGGAAGAUAUAUUAACUCAUUUUUAUUAUCCAUGUUUUUAUCAGUCAUGUGGAGCCCACUAGGGCCAGAUAGAAACACUGGUCAAUGACUCUAGGCCAGCAGCAUUGCACACGUGAACAGUACCCACGCGAAGGGUGAAUGUCAUGUGCAGCCCAUUAAGGUCCAAAGCAGCAAUAGGCCUGCCUAGGGUCUGCGGUACUGCAGGUCAACAGUAACUGCAUCGUUGUUCACGAUGGCUGUUUAGUCAGAGAUUGGAUUAGAUUGACUAGUUAGCUAUUUCCUAUCUCUAUCUAAAAGGGUGGUUACUGCUCAGGAUGCUUUGCAUUUCUUUCAUUUUAGAACUUGUGUCCUGGUAGUAGCCUAUACAACUAUUCUAUUUUCCACAUCAACUCCCUCUUUAUUGAUCCUUAAGUUGACAUCCUGUAUAUAAGCCUCAGGAUAUUUUCUUGUCAACUGUUUUCACGUUAAGAUCAAAUUUGUAAAUUCAAUCCAUAACAGAAAAAAACACAAGAAAAAUUCGUCUGAUCAGGCAUUCUUGGCAUUAGACUUAGGACAUUAACUUUCUCUAAGGUAGGAGUAGAACUCACUGGAAUUUGGUCAUUUGUUUCUUAUUGUACAUCCAAUUUUGAGUAAAGUUGGAGUGGAAUGAUUAAUGUCACUGGUUGAAUAAGCAUAUUUACUACUGGAUUCCCAGAGGCUUGUAGCACGCUAGCACUAUUGUCUCCGACAUAGUGGGUCUUUCAGUUAUGGCCAUAAGCAUUCAUGUUUUGUUACUCUGGCAAGUGAUCUCAACCAAAUGUAUGCACAAUAUAUAUAUUUUGCGGGGAUGCAGAAUAUUGUCUAACUUUUGUGAUCUUGUAUUACUAACGCAUGCAUUUUUUAUUAUCCAAGAUGGGUAAUUACUCCAUUUUGAAAAGAUGGUGCCUAUAUUUUUCACAAAAUUUCUCUCGAAAUAUAAAGCCUGCAUGUGAUUUUACUAUGAUAUAUCUUCUGUGUCCCUAUUUGGCACAUUUCUCCCUAACAUUAUCAUUCUACUGCUAAAUGUCAUCUAUGUCGAAUAGAUUGAACAAUGCUCUCGCUAAGUACUCUCUUAUUUUGAUUUUUUUUCUUCUUGAAUACGAAUUUCGAAUCAAUUUAAGUAUGGGUAGUAUGCUCAUUUUAUCUUCUUUCUCUUUAUUUCAUACAUUUCUUAGUAUUCUCGUCCUAAAUAAGCCCUGUAUUUUGAAAACGGUAGAGUACCUUGUUUACUGAAUAUACUACACUUGCAUUAUCAUUCUAGUACUAAAUGUCAACUAUGCUCGAAUAGACUGCUACUGUUCAUGGAACAGUCAUGUCAAAGUGCAUUGCAUAAGCCACCCCAAAAAUACUAGUAUUUCUUUGUGUAGUUAUUUGGACAACUCUUUCUGCACUUGCAAUCAACAGUAGCAGUCUAUGCUGAUCACAUCAACUAUUCUUAAGUUAGCAAAUAAAAUAUGUAUAUCUUUUUUGUAAUUUUUGUUCCAUCAAUUCUUGUUUCAAACUGGAUAUGAGGCAUCUGGUUAUAAAGCUCAAAAUUGAUCGUAUUUCAGUACAUCAUGUAAUUGAUAAUUUUCUUGAGUUCUUCAGAAAAAGCAGUAAGUCUUGCUGCUGCAGUGGGUGGUCAUGCCCUGAGAUUAGCCGAGCUUGAAACUUUCAGGCCUGAAGAAGGGAUGAUCCUUGCUAAUGCGACAUCAUUGGGAAUGUACCCCAAUGUGGACGGCACCCCUAUCCCAAAGGUAUCUUGCUCAUGCAUGCACCAUGUUAUAUUCCAGAACAGCAUACUUGGAAGCUCUAUUACCACCUUUAGAAUUAACCUCAGCAUACUCUCUUGUUACAUUUGAGAUUAUCUUGAUAUAGCUGUCUGCUCAGUGCUGCCUCAAUAUUUGUUAUAAAUUCCAUUGUUUUCGCAGAAAGCAUUAAGCUUCUAUGAUGUUGUAUUUGAUGCGGUAUAUGCCCCGAAAGUUACCCGGCUUCUACGAGAAGCAGAAGAAUGUGGGAUUAAAGUUGUCAGCGGUGUAGAGAUGUUUGUCAGACAAGCCAUGGGUCAGUUUGAGCAUUUCACAGGUGGUAUUGAAGGUAUUGUGCUCUUUUAACUUAUAUAUCAUAUACCUUAUUAUGUCGAAUGUUUUUUGUGGACCUACUUAGCUAAUACACCUUCAUCUUUCUGAUAAUCUGCUUUUGCAGCUCCUGAAAGCCUGAUGCGUGAGAUAGCUGCCAAAUACACAUAACAGGUUCAUUCUUCAUCUUUUGCCUUUUCAUUUCUAUGCUUCUAGUCAAGUAGUCAUGAUGGGUUAGCAUAUUAGAUUCUGUUAGCAUAUUACACCAUGCCAAAUCCACAAGGGCAAGAUGUAUAUGUAAUCCAACCCAUAGAACUAAUAUAGUUUAGGACCCAAACUACAUAUAAUGCUAAUAAUGAUAGGCUACUAGUUACUUCCUCCGUCCCAAAAUAUAAGGGAUUUUGGAGGGAUGUGACACAUCCUAGUACUACGAAUCGGGACAAACUCUGUCCAGAUUCAUAGUACUAGAAAAUAUCACAUCCCUCCAAAAUCCCUUAUAUUAUGGGACGGAGGGAGUAUAGAAUUUGGUUCUUUGAUACGGUUUUUGAUUUGAGAACCACCUCCUUGUAGGAUUGGUUAGUCUAUCAUGGGAUGAUCUCAUGAACUUUGGUGGGAUGGCCCCAUCCUAUAAUUUGUAUUGCCUAUGCAUACGUGCUUAUGAGGGGUGGAUGGAUUUUAGGUGGUGAUGGACCAACAAGAUCCCAUUUCACAAACCAAACAAUCUUGUUUGGUUCCAACAUGCAUUCAUUUAGUGUGGUUUGAUAGGCUUUCCCACCUUGUUGAGCUGUGGACACUAUAAAUCAGCGGUUUUGUUUAUGUUAGCCACGUGGAAAUGACUUGAGUUGUAAUCAAUGCCAUGGAAACCAUUCGUUUUCAUUUACUAAGAUAUACUGAUCAUUACCAUCGCUUAUUAAUGCUCAUUGGAUGCAACUUUUUUUUUGAUAUAACCAUGUUUCUGUAGGCGAAUGGCGAAGCGACGGUUGUGAGUAAUUAGCCCAAAUAUUCCUCUGGGUUAAGUUAAUAAAAGUUUUGGAUGCCAGCCCAAUUUUGUGCUAGGUGGAGAUUAGUUGUUGUAAUGUUCGAUUUCGCCGACUUAACCUGUCAGAGAUGUAAACAGAAAGUGUUCAAUCUCAUCAUACUUGCAAUAAAGAAUUUGCAUGCAUAACUGCGCAGUUGCUUGAUGAUCAUGAUGAGUUUUAAGGAAACAAUACACAUCAAGCUAUGAUCAGGUGGUUUCAUGUUCAUCAUUCGUAAUGGAACCAAUAUCUGUGAUUGGCAAUGAUACAUCAUUGUAAUAUUCAGCUGCUUAUGCUCUACUCCUUUCCAUUGUACUUCAUGUCAGUCUGGAGAAGAAAGGUGUACGUGAUUGCUGGACGUUUGACCUAUGAAUGUUCAAGUCCAUUCAGAGAAUUAUUAUAUAAAGCUCUGGUUUAUGCCUAAGUUUGCAGCUUAAAAUGGAACUUUAUCAGGCAAGGAUGCUCUGUCUCAGGAUCUGUACUCUAUGAGUAUGAUCUUUUGAUAACGUGGCAGUUUGAAUCACUCGAUGUUUUUCUCUUUUGGGUUGGGCAAGGAUGUAACCUAAGAUUUCUUAGUUGACUACGGUUGUUAUCGGAUCACUAAGCUUCUCUAAUACUUCCUUCAUUCCAAAAUAAAUUAUUUUUUCACCUAUCUCACACAUCAACACAAAACUUAAAAGAUAAGAAUACUUUUACUUUAUCAAAUCUCAAUAUAGAUAUUCUUCACUUUAUUUAUUUUUAAUAUAAUUAUUUCUUAUUUUCACAAACUCUGAUACAUUUACUUAAAAAAUGAGUUUAUUUUAGGAUAAAUGAGGAGUCAAAAAUAAAUUUAUUAUAAGAUGGGGGGAGUAGGUUCUAGCUGGUUGAAAACUGUAUCGAUCAGUUGAUUCCAAAGGAUUAGACUGCCUCUAUUAACCCUCUGGACGGUCUAUGAAAACUGUAAUGACCAGUUGAUGCAACAAAUCAUGUGGUAUUUGAGCUUUUAUAUGCUGGACUAGCAGCAGAAACUGACAAAAGUAGUUAAAUGCUAAAAGUAACCGGUGGUGUUCGAAACUGGUGAGAUGAAGAUUAAGUAGAUGCAAAUAAAAUAAGAAAGUUAUUAGUACAUGAUUAAUUAAAUUAAAUUAUCAUAAAUUUGAUAAAUGGAUAUAUUUGAUAUUUUAAAGCAACUUCUGUAUAAAAAAUUUUCGCACGGAAAACACCAUUUAGUAGUUUGAAAAACGUGCUAAUUGAAAUUGGGGUAAAAUCCGAAUCUUAAUAAGAAAAGAAUAUUGUUUAAAUAUAGAUAAAAUAAUUGAAACCAUCAAUGAUGACCAGUAUUGCAUACUGACGUAAUCACAUGCAUUUAUAUUUUACAUGAACCGUCGAGGUACCGGUUGUAUUCACGUCGUGUUCAUCGUCAGAACUCGCCGUUGUAGUUUCUCUCUCUAUCGGGACCACGUCAUUAUCGGUCACGUUCUUGCUGUUAUGAUUUUCUUCGUUGCCAAUAUCCAUCAUCUAUGGACGAGUCACAUCGUGGGACACAUCCUACCAUCUUACUUACUAUUAUUGGUUCACCGAAGCACCAGCAUCCAUCUUCCCUCCUUUUUGUUUCUCGCUUUUGGCUAGGAAAGACGAUGAACAAUGCCUGUUGGGUGCUAUUGCUUCUUUGUCCAACCUAACCAUGCUCCUGAAUCACUCACAUAAUAUUGAAACCAUAGUAAUAUGAAUAUAAUAGGAAAAUUCUAAUUUAUGUUAAUGAAACGGGCACCCGUUCGGAAUUAAUGGAUCAAAUUUUCAUCUAUGAGUUAAAGUAAGCUUUUUCAAUUUCUAGCUAAUUUCAUUUGUUUUUUCAUUUACAAUUUUAGUUUUAGCACUAUUUGAUCCACUAAAAAUUAUUUUUAACUUAUAAUUUUUCUCUGUAUUGAAUUAUUUAUAGCUAAAUGAAAAAAGGGGAUUUAGUUAUAUAAUUGUUUUAAUAUUAAAUUAUCAUUCCGACCAAACUUAUUUGUGGUUUCAUGUCGUUAUUUUUUUAUUAUAUUUCUUUCAUCAUUUAUGCCGAAUUAUGAUAUAUGAUUUUAAUUUAUGUCAAUGAAAGUUAUCUAGAAUCUAUUACAAUACACAAACGUUAUGCUAGUACAUAUAAAUAUUAUAUGUACGUAUAUGCAAUUUUGCUGUAUAUUUAUCAACAAAUUUUCUCCUAAAAAUUUGACGGAUGUAAUUACAGUACAAUCGUAAUGUAACUAGUAUGUAACUACAAUGCAACUUGUAUGUAACUUUUACAUAAUUUUGAACCGUUAGAUUUGUUUCAAGAUUUGUGCAACUAAAGAAGGAAAAAUGUCAUUGCGCGCAUAUAUGCAAGAGGAUUCGUUCCCACGACCUCUUCACCGAAAUAGCAUGUUACGAAGAAAUUUUUGAAAGUGAUAUACAAGUUACAUAUAAGAUACGGUGUAAUUAGAUCAUGAUUAUACUAUAAUUAUAUUUGUCAAAUUUUUAGAAAAUUUGACGAACAAUGCCCCACGACACGCGGUGUCCGCGUCAUCUUCCGGAACGGCAAAAAUAUAGUCCUAUCACUUUUCCGGCGGCAACCCCAAUUUGGCAACUCCCGAGUCUCCGACACAAUGCCAAAUUGCUUAAUUUCCCUUGCCCGGCCGGCUGCUCCCACACUCCCACACUCCCACCUCACCAACCCACGCCACCCUGCUACGCCCACCGCCACAGCCGCCACACCCAAACCCAACACACCUCCCGACCCGACCCGCCCCGCCCCCCACCUCACACUUCACCAUCAGUACUCUGGCACUCUGCCACUGCCGAUCUCGCUCGCGCGAGCAUUCACGUCGUCGCUACCGAAGGAGGAGGAGGAGGAGAUGACGCUCCUGUGCGUGCCGCUGGUGGCCCGCACGGUGGAGGCGAUGCGGGCCGACGCGGCCGCGGCCGCUGCCGCCGGCGCCGACCUCGUCGAGAUCCGGCUCGACUUCAUCGGCAGCAAGUUCCGCCCGCGGGAGGAUCUCCCGCGCCUGCUCCGCGGCUGCCCGCUCCCCGCCAUCGUCACCUACAGGUCAGAACCCCGGCCCUCUCCCGCUCUUGCUACCCUACCGUACGUCGUGCUCUCUCAGGCAGCUACCGCGCACCGCGCGCUGGACUGGUUUGAUACAGGAUUUGCGUCCAUUUAGCGCGUGUUCAUAUGCACAGCUUGCAAGUUGCAACGUUUCGAGUGUUUCAGCUUACCAUGCAUGAUUAUUCCUGCUUUGCUUUGCUUUUGGGGUUGUAUACAUUUUUCGGGAUGGAUUUUGGGCGCUCCCUGUUUUUUUCCCUUUUCUUUUGAAUUUUUAGCACAGAUUAUUUACUCAAUGCUUUUAAAAGUGUGAUUUCUCUAAUGCUUUUAAUUAGUACUUAUGCGGCUAGACUGCGUUCGUUUGAAACGAUUGGGAUCUUUUUCCUUUCCCACGUAAACCACAUAAACCGGAACAGUGUAUGAUUAAUUAGGUAUUGGUUUAAAAUAUAUUAAUAUGAUUUUGUAAGCAACUUUUACGUAGAAUUUUUUUAAGAAAAUAACAUUUACCACCUCGUAAAAAGUUUGCGUGGAAAAUAAGAAAGUAGUAGUUAAAAAAAGUGAAGCGAAACAUACCUGAUGAACCCUGAGUUCAUCUCGACACUCAAGGCUGUUGUUGGCCCGAUCUUUCGGUGAGUUGUGAUAACUACGAUUUGGGAGAAACGUUGACGAUCCGACUACAACUGUACAAAACCGUUGCGUUGCGCCUUAGCGAUCGAUACACCUCUCCGUGGGUUGUUGAUCUUGCCGGUGCAGAUCAACCUUAUUCCUGCAAGCUAUCGAGAACAAGCAAGAACAAGAUAUAAAGCAACUGAAUUGCUAGAUAGACAAGACGCACAAAGAUAAAUUGAUACACGAUAAAGUGGGGUUCCGAACAAGCAGACGGACGGUCUAGCCGACACGCGCGCUGCAAGCGAAGUAGCAAUGGCUAAACUUACAAUUAAUCAAAACCCGCGAAACUCUGAAGGGGUACCUAACUAUUUAAAGAGAUAGGAGGACGACCAAGGGCACUCUAGGGUCGUGCUCCACCUGGUUGGGGCGCACCCCACUUGGGCCCCACUUGGGCCAGGGUCCCAAACGAAGUUACAAGCCCAAAGGCCCAUGACAGGUGACGCAGCACCUUGUUUGUUCAUCCGCGGAUGACUAGGAUGGAAUUUGGCGAUGAGGCUGGAUCCAUUGGAAAGAGGACUCCGUAGGCUUUCCAUCAAGUACUCACGGGCCAAAAACGGAGGUCGUAUGCAGAUUCGGCGGCCGUUUGAAAUCAACAGUGCAGCAGGUGGCCGAAUCGGAUUCCAGCACUUGGAGACCUUGAUCUUGAUGUCUUCUUGUUCACGCAUUAUGUGAGCAAUGGUUGUAUCCGUAGUAGCCAUGGUCACAUCAGUACCCGAGGAAGAUCCAAGCUUUUUCUAACUAUUUCUUUAGGCGGUGCAGAGAGGAUACGACAAGAAAAAUAAAACGGCAACUUGACUAAAGAGUGAACAAUUUUAUUCCUUAAUGCUGGCCAUAUACAUAUUAUAAGAGUCACGAGCUCCCUCAGGAAUCAAACACUUUGUAGUUUGUACUCUAGUAUUUCCUAUACUCACUCCGUCACUCGUCAAUACAAUAUAGGUUAAUUCUUCAUGAGACUUGAUAUAGUUUUUAGUACUGCGAUUUGUUUCAACAAGAUGAGUUUGCGCCAAGGUACGAUGCCGUCGAUGCGUACUAGAUACAUAUAAAGAUUUCGCCUGCUUUUCUACCACAUCCAGAAGUUGAAUUUAGAAGAGUUUGAUUUUGAAGUCAUUUUAUGAAAACAAUUUUUUAAUAUAGGCUUUCAAACCGCUAAUAAAAAUAUUAAACCAUAUUUUUGUUUGCUUCUUUUCACGUACAUGUCAGCUGUGGUUUUGAACAAUCAAAGUCGUAUGUACCCCUGCAUUCUUAAAAAAUCAAUUCUAAUUAUAAACCUAGAUAUAUGCGUGUCAGGUUUGUAUAUAGGGUUUUAUCUUCUUUUAGAACAGACUAGUAGGCACAAAUAAUCUAAGCGAACAACUAGCAUGUAUUUUAUUUACAGUACGUGACACUUCUGCUCUAUCCGCUAUUAGUAGUACUUUUUUUUUUAGAACUGGUAUUAGUACUAUUUCUACUUUUUUUUUUUCGCAUUGCAUGUUUCACAUGUGCACAGGCAGUUGUGGCAGUCAGAGUGUGUUGGGACUUGGGAGAGUUGUACUGGGAGGGAGGCAGUGUCAAGUGAGGCUAUGCGAUCUGCGAUACUAUAAGCUUGUAUAUGUUCGGUUGUUCACUUUAUCAUCAUUUUAACUUUGCUAAAUUUUGAUAGGGGUAAUAAUCUAAAACAAAAUCUUAGCAAUAUCAUUCUACCAAAAAUUAGUAUACUAUAAUAGUACGGACAUGCUGUUGUUAUCUCUGCCAUGGGAGUACCUAUACAUCUUUCGAAAGAUUUUUAUAAUCGUAUCACACAGAUUUUUAAUCUUUGUAUUAAAAUCUGAUAGAUAUAAUAAAAAGCAAAAAGCAAUUAAGAAACACCAUAAUGAACAUUAAAUUACCAUAUCCUCAAGAAAAAGACCAAAUCAAAUAUAAAAUUUAAAAUUUACAUGUGAAGAUUCAAAAAUUACAGUGUAACUUACAAAAGUUACAGUGUAAGUUUCAUAAAUUACACUAUAACUUACAAGAAAAUGCACUGUAAAUUUGAGUGAGAAAAUCGAGUGAGAGAUAAGAAAAAAUCUUUCGAGUGAGAUAUAGCAAAAUCGCUCUGCCAUUGCUUUUUAAUUGCACGGUUAGUUUUUUCAUGGCGUGUUUUGAUUGCGGGGGCAGGAAGGCCCAUAUCAGGCCCAAAUUCAUUCAGUCUGGCGGUCAUGAAGUUCUGAAGCUACGGGAAUGGCGACGAACUAAUCGUGAGAUAGAUAAUUCUGCCGAUUCCUGUCGCAUAUGCUUCCCGAAGAACAACGAGCACAUGCUUUGUUGCGAUCAAAGAGAAGAAAUACUGCAUAUGCGUAUGGUGCUAUAGCUUCAUGAUCAAACUUGUAUCUACGAGGCAACGGCGUUAAAAAUUAAAAAUCAAAUGGGAUAGUAGAUAAGAUAUACAAUUCGUGAUACUCGAGGUAACAAGGCUAAUUAUUUAUCUGGUCAAGAUAGAGAGUUCUCCGGUUGGUCCAUGCGCAGUAGAAAGAGAGAGCGAAGCAAACACUCAAACAGCAGCUACACUGCUACAGUGCUACAGCAGGCGGCAAUAAGGGAAAAAACUGGAGGCGACACGUCCGAAUCGGACGACCACGUCAUCAUGACGUCAUCCUGCAUACAUAAGUGAACUUUAAACUAUUUUUUUCUCUUAAAUUAUUUAUCCAAAUCAUGAUCCGAUUGCACCAUUAAAUUUAUUGCAAUUAAAUCUUUAAAACAAGACCACACAUGAAUAUAAUCCGAUGAACUUUUUUAAGCUUAUUAUUGAAUUAUUUUUAAUAAAUGUUGCACGCUGUUGCACUAAGUAUAUGGAAUUGUUUUACUAAGUAGAUCGAAAAUGUUUCAUCGGACGCUGUUUCACCUUAUAUGAAAACAAUGUUUCAGCGAAUAGCGAAAUGAUGUUUCAAUUCACUGCAACAUUUGAUUCAUACAUAGUGAAACAAUAAGUAAAUUACGUGAACUUUUUUGUGGAAAAAAAUGAAAUGGAUUCCCUUAAUAGAGGGUUUCUAUAAUAUGUGGGUAAUUUGUUACAAAAGAAUUGUUUCAAUUCACUGCAACAUUUGAUCCAUACAUAGUGAAACAUUAUGAGUACAUUAUAGAGGGUUUCCAUAAUAUGUGGGUGAUUUGUUGCAACGGCGUGUAUGGUGGGGACACGUGGCGGGAGCAGCGCGGGGACAUGUGGCGGGUAGGGCGCGCGCGCGGGAGGGCAUGACGUGUGGCGCCCGAUUUUACUCCCCACGUCGAGCGCCCGAUUCUAGGCAUUCCUAAAAAGAAAUAAUAAAAAAAAGGAGUACACUUAUUCGGAUUUGUAACAUAACGAUAUCUAGGGAUGAAAAUGGGGCGGGUAUAUUCCAACCGCCCGCCCUACCCGAGGCUCACAGGAGGAAUAUGGGAGAAAAAAUGGGAUACCCAAUACUAUCCAAGUUCGAAUCCGAAUUCGUUAGAAAAUAUGGGUUAGGAUACGGGAAAACAUGUAUCCGCCCGCAUACCCCAUAUUAUAAAAUAUAUAUGAAAAUCUAUUAUAAAUCCACUUACAAACAUGAUAAAAGAUUGGUUAAUCACUAUUUUUUAUGAGCUCACAUGUAAUAUUGCAUAAUUUUUCUCUUGAUGUAUCUCUUUUAAUACUUUAAUUACCUUAUUAUGUUUAAUAUCUAUGAAUUAGAGAUACAAAUAGAUAUCCGUUUCCGAAUCCGAUUUGAUGAAAAUAAUAUGGGAUAGAAUACGAGAUGAGUGAUAUAUUAUCCGUCACUAACCGUACCCGACUCCGAGUUUAAAGAAAAAUAUGGGUUAGGAUAUGGGAAUGCCAUAAUCCGACCGUAUCCGCCCGUUUUCACCCCUGUCGAUAUCCAAUCUUAGAUUGCUGUAUUUUGAGACGAAGAAAGCAGCUCAGGUUCUCUUAUCCUGUUUUGCCACCAUGCUCACGCGGCAAAGAACUGGCACCAAUCAAUGAGAGGAGAGGAAGCAGACAUAUACUCCCUCCAUUUAUUUUUGGCUGCUCCUAUUUAUCUCAAAAUAAGUUCUUUUUUAGAUAAACAUUACAUCGGUAUUUGUGAAAGUAGAGGCCAGAUAAAUGCAUUGGGAGCAGAUAAAGUGCAAAUAAUUGAAUUAGAAUUUGAUAAAGUGGAUGUAUUCUAGUCUUUUCAGUUUUAUGUUGAUAUGUGUGAGAUUGGUGAAAAAUGAACUUAUUCUGAGAAAGUAUUAUGUAAGAAGUUGAAGCAAACUUAUCAGUUUGACAUCUUCGGCAGCCUAAUCCAUGGCAUCUGCGCGAGGCGUCUCUACUUGGCCGGUGCAAAGUAAUUUUCGUGUAGUUUUAACUUUAAUGAUAGCGCCAUCUAUGAUUAUAAAAAGUUUUAUCUUAAAAUAUAUUUCUACUCUUAUAAAAAUUGAAGAAGUUUUUAUCGGUACUUUGGAACGUUUUCUGUGUAUGAGUCGGUUUUUAAGUUCGUUCGCUUUUGAAAAUAAAGGAGUCAUAUAAGAAGCCUCUUUAAAAACACUCGCAUGCUAGCUUGAGACAAUCGGACUCCUAAAUACAGCUCAUGAUUUUUUUUAAAAUAUAUAUAUAUAUAUAUAUCUAAGCGAAUUACUACAGUGAAUUUCAUCUCAACUAAACAAUAUAGCAAUAAUAAGAUUAAAAUAAACUUCACCCGUUGCAACACACGGGCAUUUUUUCUAGUCUUGUAUAAAGAGUAAAAAAAAGAGAUGUUAUUAAGAAGUAAAGUGCCAUUUUCAAUAGUUUGGAGGAUAAAAAAUAUUUCAGAGAUUAAGUGAUCUAGCUAUUGGAUUAGUUUGGGUAGUAAAAUGGAUUUUGUUUUUUCUUUUCUAAGCUCCCAUAUAAGCACCUAGCAUUGGAGAUGGCCUAAGCGCACACUGCUACCCUUAACAGCUAUAAUUAUUUUGGCAAUUAACAAUUACUUAAUUCCCUAUUUCAUAUUGUAGAUGCUGAUCAUAGUAACAGUAUUACCAAUGGCAGUGAAACCAUUUCUUUUUGUCAAGACUUGUGUCAUAACAACAUAUCAGGAUAAAUAGGGCAAAUGUAGCAAUGACAUGGCUAAUAGUUGGUAACAACAUGUUAUUGCACCAGUUGCUUAUCCCAGAGCGUGUUACUCUACCUAUAUACAAGCUAAUCCCUCCUUCGAAAAAUCUGAGAUCUAUUUCUUUUUCAUCAAUACCAAUAAGCAAUUAACUCACUCACCAUGUGGCAAAACAAAUAAACAUGCAAUUGAUCAACAAUUUAAUUUAGCACAUAGUAACUAUAAAUAGGACUUAGAUUUUUAGAAAAACUAAAGAAUGAAAUAGGUCUCAGAUUUUUGGAAAGAGGAAGCACUAUGUUACUGCAUGAGCAUGGCAUAGUUACUACAAUAGUAUAGGACCAUAUUACUGCACAUUCUCUACGCACUCAGUGAAAGUAGGCACGAGGUUAUUGAGAAAUCCAGCAUGCAUGCUCUUUAAGACAUGAUAGAAUAGGCAAUAAUCUAUACCUAGCUAUCUUUUACAAUUGCUAAUUCCACAAGUUUUGCCACAUUGGCCUGCUACAUGGCUUUGUGAUCUGAAAUAAACGAGCAAAUUGAUGUGAGAUCCACUAGAGAGGAGAUAAGAAAAACAUAAUUCUCUCUAUUAAAAUAUAGAGAACAACUUGGAGAAAAUUUAGUUCUCUGUUUUUCUGGGGGAUUAUGGAGCUGUUGUGAAUUUGUGAUAACACAUUCUUAAAUUUUGUGGGACAUUAAAACUAGCAAAAGUUGUAAGCUUAUAUUUGUUCCUGAAUAUAUAGCUUAAUCUAUAUUGUUUGACUAAGUUUGAAUAUUUAUUAAUAUGUGAAUAAAUUGUUCAAGAUUUCAAGUAGAACCACAAAUUUUGAAAAGUGCCCAGCUAAGAACCUAAACCCAAUUUAUUUGUUCGUCCUUUUCCGAUUGAGACAAGGUGAAAUCAUUUGUCGUUUUUGACAAGGUUGGUGCUUGCUAAACUAGUUGAGAGGACUUGCGUUCAUCAUUACCCUUGACAAGUGGCAUAAGAUCGUUCAUCAUUACCCUUGACACUCUAGAAAUUGAUAUUAUGCUGGGAUUUAAAAAAAAAAGGUCCACGUAAACAGAAUGACCAGACUUAUUUGAUUCUCUCUUCUUUAUAUUUAUCUUUUCAAUUUCUGUGCUUUAAUUGAUUUACUAUGCAAUGCAGGUACAUUUGUUUUACUUCACAAUGUUGCUCCCCACUUUGUAGUUGUUGGUUAUAUUUAUAUAACUACUGCAUAUUAGAUUCACCGUUAUGCUUUGCAUAAAUGACAUUUGUAUGUGCAUAUUUCUUUUGCAGACCCAAUUGGGAAGGAGGCCAAUAUGAAGGUGAUGAUGCUACAAGAUUUGAAGCACUCCGUUUAGCAAUGGAGCUAGGAGUAAAUUAUGUCGAUAUUGAAUUGAAGGUUUGUUACCUCAAAUAAGUUAAACUGUUACGCUGUUCCCAGUUAAUAUGUAAUAUUGUAAGCAUCCUUAGAUUUCAAAUUGAUUAGUGCCCACUAUUUUUCAAAAUGCAUAACACAUUGUAUUAAAAACGAUUCUGAAAAAUGCCUUCUUUUCAUGGUUAAACCCCACCACUACUUUUUCCUUUUAUUUGUGGAACACAAGUGCAUCCACAUUGCCUCCAUUUUUCAUUCUACCACAAUAUGACUAAUUUGAGCAUGAAAAUGUGGCCUGUACAUAACUUUGAAAAUGAGUUUUGAGUAAAUUUGGAAUAUCAUGUUGUAGCUUCAUAGCUGGAGGUACAAAUAUGACACUCAUUCAUGCAUUAUGGAUGGUGCAAUUUUAAUAUUUUUAUGUAUUUUAAUAUUCAGUUCUAUUGCUCAUGACAAGAUAGAUCAUUCCUCUUAAGUUCAAAUUGAAUCCAUUUGUCAAUCAUACUAUUUUAUUCUUUAGAGUCUAGCUGCCAUUUGGCCAUCGCAUUAGGAAGGUUAACUAAAAUAUAACACUGAAGGGGGAAAUCUAUUUUAAAAACGUCCAAUGAAUACUCAAUACAUCGUUCUUAUGCUCAUGUGGUUUCUUUUAAGAUGCUCUGGAAUGAAAUUGUAAAAAGUUCCUUUUGUAAUUACUUAAUAAACUUGAAGUCAAAAAAUUCAUGUUUUCCAUUUGUUCCUUUAGGGAACACACCAAAUAUAUUUUUUUUUGCAUCUUUAUGUUAAGUAAGGAGAGCAAACAAACAAUAAAAAAUUUGGAAAAAAAAGUAACAUGUAACUGUUCAAGACAAAAAUGCCAACCUAAAAAAAGAAAAAAAAACACAAGGUAGCUCUAGCCAAUAGUUUUUCGGGACGAUUCUUCAGUUUUUAUUCUUGUAUCUCUUAUCUCAUACUCUAUAUGUUUCAUAUUAUAAGAUGUUUUAACUUUUUCCUAAGUCAAACCUUUUUAAGUUUAUAGAGAAAUAUUGCAACAUUUAUAACAAAAUAUUAACACUAUCAAAUAUAUUCAUUGUUAGAUUUAAUGAAACUAAUUUGGUGUUGUAAAUAUUGCUAAUUUUUCAAUAAGCUUGAUCAAACUUAAAUAUGUUUGACUCGGAAAAAAAGAUCAAAACUCUUAUAAUAUGAAACAGAAGGAGUAUAUGUUUUGGAACACAAUGCAAACCUAGUUUUAAGCAAUUUAAAAAGCCAAAUGCUUUAAUAUAAUUUAAUUUUCACCAAUCAUCUAGCCAUGUAGGCUCUAUGCCUCAUUUAUCUAAGUACAUGAUUAGGACUGUAUGGGGGCACAUUUGUAUCUUCAUUAGCCACUAGGCAUUUACAUACAUAACGGCAUGCAUACUAUAUGUACUAACCAAGUUUAUUUUUCUUGUAGGUUGCUGACAAAUUUAUCAGCUUUAUUUAUGGGAGUAAGCCAGAGAAGUGCAAACUUAUUGUCUCGGCACAUAAUUAUGAAAGUACUCCAUCCUGUGAGGAGCUUGCAGAUCUUGUGGCUAGAAUACAAGCAGUUGGAGCUGAUAUAGUGAAAAUCGCAACAACAGCUAAUGACAUUGUUGAUGUGUCACAGAUGUUCCAAGUGAUGGUGCACUGCCAAGUAAGUGUCAUUUUAUAAAAUCCAAGAAAUGCUUUCACUUUUCUACAUGGAAACUUGCAUGUCACCUAUCUUGUAUAGUUGUCCCAGUACAUCUUGCCUCUAGCCCACUACUACUGCAUGCCCCCUUUAGAUUCUUUUUUUUUUAAAAAAAUAAAGGAAGCUAUUCAGAUCCAUGAUGUUUUUGAAUUAUUGCACAUGUCAAAACUUUGUGUAAUGGUCCCUAAGGCCUGUAAACAUCACUCGGCAUGGGGGAUUUUCUAUGGUUUGGAAGUAUUUUUUAAGUGAAAAACAUUAGGAUUUGUAAUUUAAUUUUAGCAUGUUGGCUUUCAGAAAAUUGUAUUUCACAAAUUGUACUUCAGCUAAGCUACAUGAGAACUACACCAAUCUAACCCUAUUUUUUUUAUAAAUAGGUCCUUUCAAAAACUUAUUUCAAAGCUAGACCGUGCAAAAAAACUUACCAAAAAUAGACCGUCGGCUCAACGCCAACCGCCUUUGCGCUGAGGUUACACUGAUCAGCGCCGACUCCCUUGCCAAUGUGGCAGCCGAGCCAAUCCCCUCGUCUACAUGGCAGGGGCUCAACACCAACCGCAUUGGCGCUAAGCUACUAAUCUCAGUGCCAAUUUCUGGUGCUGAGCUUUGGGACUUAGCUGCUCGCAGUUGGGCCACCCAACACAACUCAUAUGUUGGGCGGCCCAGAGGCGCUGAGCCGUCAAAUCUCAGUGCCAACGUAAUUGGCAAUGACCCUAAAGAUCUCAGUGCCAACUAAUUCGGCGCUAAGUUUUGUGACUUAGUCGCUCACCACAGGCCCGCUCAACACAGCUCCUGUGUUGGGCUCUGCCCUGAUGCGAGGGUUCAACGCCAAUACCCGAGGCAAGCCAUGGUGUACUUGAUAGAUGCAUUGGACUCCUUCACAUGAAACAUGGAUGCACCCGGAUAGAGUAGCUCUGCAGCCAUAUUUUCAAGUCUUCCAUAGAUUGAAAUUCCAACCCCGUUCUCGAUUCCUCCCCUAUGGCAUCGAUGGUUCCAUCUUAUUGUGGAUCCCCAUCGGCAACUGCGAGCCCAUCAUUGCUAAGAUCCUUGAAUUGAGUGAUUUCCGGAUUGCGACCAACGAUUUUCUCAAACACUCUCCUCUCUUCCUCUGACAUCUUGCCCAUUGGACGAUCGUCAUUGGAGUUAGAAGCAUACUCAUCCACAUCAUCAUCUGAAUGCACAUUCAACAAAUCCAUGUUCAAUCCAUUAAAUACCAUAGCCUCCUCACACUCCUGUCGGGUGUAAAUUUUUCUUCAAAGCAAUUCUCUGAUGUAUGAAGCCAUCUGCCUAUCAUCAAGUUCAACUUUCAUCUCAUUCUCAACUUGAUUCACAUCUAGGCCAACAUCUGACAAAUCCUCCCCUACCUCCACUUCAUCCUCAACGGGUACUUCCCCCUACCUCCAUAUCCUCCUCAACCUGUACUUCCUGCCCUACCUCCACAUCUUCCACAAUUAAUUAUUCCUUCCGAUCCGCGACAAACAUAUCGUUCUUCGGUUCAUGACAGUACAGGGGGAUUCUAUGCGCGAACUUUAAUUGAGGUCUAAAAAUUCAUUCUCCGAUUUGCUGCGCUCUUUCUUCCAAGCAAACAUCUCAAGCGAUUUGAAUUGUGACCCUAGUACUAUAUCUACAUAUGUUUCCCAUUCCACCUCUCUAUUCAAGUCUAACAUAAAAUUAUGUGAUAUGGGACCUGCGCCCACAUUGUAUCUUCCUUUCAUACCAACCGACUCAUCACUCCAAUCCAAUUCAUCUUUCGUGCGGGACUUUAACUCUUCAAAUGUGGAUUUGGCAUGAAACACUAACUAUCUAACAGUCUCCCCCGCAAAUUGGCUUCCACCAGUACUUUCAUCUACCACACAGCUACCAAUCUAUUCAUCUACAAUGUGUAAUCAAUAAAUAAAAAUAAAGUAUUUCAGAAUAGCUGAUAAAUGCCACGCCAAUCCCAAAACUAUCAAACCUAAGAACGUUCAAAUGUUUCAAAAAAAAACCCUAACAACGUAUACUAAUCUAUCCAUCCAAUAUGUAACCGAUAAAUAAAAAUAAAGUAUUUCAAAAUAACUGAUUAAUGCCACGCCAAUCCCAAAACUAACAAACCUAAGAACGUUCAAAUGUUUUAAAUAAAAUCUAACAACGUACAAAUUAUAAAUUACCACUAACCCCACCACUAAGUCCUAAUGUUUUAAAAAACACAUGAAUCAUAGUACAACUUAACUUUCAAACUCCUACAAAUUGCCUAAAACAAAUCAUUUAUCUCGGGUUACAACCACACAUCUAACCCUAGCCAUCAUCACACAUUCAAAAUAUAGGUUCAGAAAUUUACAAAUCAACAUUAAUCAACCGAAGCAACAUCAAUAUGGAACUUCCACACUAAUCACGACCCAGACAACCCAACUAACAAUAGAUCACGAGCCACAUUCCUCAAAUCAUGGUUAGAACCAAAACAACCAAAAUACAUAAUAAAAUGUUCAAGAAAUUAGGGUUUUCGAGGGAGUUUAUCUUUAAACUCGACCCCACACUCAAUCCUUACGAAAUCCCAUUUGAUUUUGUGUGGAUUUGGAGAGAUUUGGGGAAGGGAGGAGAGAGAACUUGGCGUCGUCACACGAGCACUAGGGGAGAGGAAAGGAGAGGAGAGGAAGAAGAGAUGUUGGGUUGUUGCGGCCUCGUGUCGCCCUUAGUAACCUAGCUCAACGCCAACACGGCCGGCGCUGAGGUUAGACGGUUCAGCCCCAAGGCGGUUGGCACUGAGACCCUGCCACGUAGACGAGGGGAUUGCCUCGACUGUCAUGUUGGCAGGGGGUUCAGCACCAACAGCCCUGGCACGAGCCGUCUAGCCUUAGCGCCAAGACAGUUGGUGCUGAGCCAACGGCCUAUUUUUUGUUGAAGUUUUUUGCACGGUCUAAUUUCAAAAUAACUUUUCGAAAAACCAAUUGGUUAGAAAAAAUGGAAUUGAACCUGUUAAACGAAAGAAAAAAAUAUAUAACCCCUUUUGUUCUCAUGUUCUUUCCAUAUUCGAGUCUCCGUAAUCCCUAUUUUCCUAGUGAAAGCAACUAAAACAAUGUGAAUUUACGAUGGGACUAGUUCAGCCUUAUUAAACCUUUAUGUGUUGAGGAGAUUCUUAAGAAGAAAAAAACACUAAGCUCAUGGAAAAGUUGUGCUCUUUUCUUAGCUUAUUCAUUCUUGUUGUAUUUCAUCAAGUUUGGUGUUAUUAUAUUAGGAGGUAUGCAAUAGUAUGUGGGAUAAUGUCGUAAUAUGUCUGACUUGUACUUUUAUGUUAUUUUUCCUCUAAUCCAUACCAUUUUGUAUUAACUUCCAUUUGACUGACCAGUAGAAAUGGAAAUGACAGGUGCCUAUGAUUGGACUAGUUAUGGGCGAAAAAGGUUUAAUGUCAAGGGUGUUAUCCCCCAAGUUUGGGGGAUAUCUAACCUUUGGGAGUCUUGAUGCUACAAAGGUAUCAGCACCUGGGCAGCCAACCGUCGAAGAGCUGAUAGACAUUUAUGAUAUAAGGCGCAUAGGACCUGAUACAAAGGUUCUCGGUGUUAUAGCCAACCCAGUAAAACAGAGCAAGAGCCCAG